UUCUGGCAAUCACAGUAAGAAAAAUUCUUUGUAUCAAAGUAUUCUGAAAUAUCACAAUCGUGAAGACAGAGAAGAAUAUAGCUAAUCUAUCUUCCACAGUGGAUGACAAUAACAAAGGAUAUCAUCCAGGGAAUUGUUUUGUGCUUAUCAAAGGAGGUUUCUGUUUUUUCUACACCCAUGUAUGCUUUGUGCAAAGCAUAGUGCCAGUGCAUCUCUUGGACACUACUCACCAGACUGUUAACUGGAUCAUAUCUUACUGUUUCCGGUUUGUCUUAUUCUGAAUCUGAAGCACAGGCAGGCCUACAGACUGGUGUGGCACAGUUCCACAUUCACCAUCCUGACACACAACAAUGUGAGUGUAUCCCUGGGCUAUUGGUGUAAAACCCUGAGCUCUUGCCCUUGGAAGAACUUCUUGCUGCUGGCUUUGUAUGUAAAUUGACCAGACACCCAAUUCUCAGAGUACUUUCUUCCUUCAAAGCCAUCUAACUCUUAAGCUCCCUUCUAGCUACAGUGAACUUGCAUUUGCAUUUUUAAGUAUUUCCUUUGUCCU
rnacentral:lncRNA from 1 species